rnacentral:rRNA from 1 species
GACGAACGCUGGCGGCGUGCUUAACACAUGCAAGUCGAACGGCAAGGCCCUGCUUUUGUGGGGUGCUCGAGUGGCGAACGGGUGAGUAACACGUGAGUAACCUGCCCUUGACUUUGGGAUAACUUCAGGAAACUGGGGCUAAUACCGGAUAGGAGCUCCUGCUGCAUGGUGGGGGUUGGAAAGUUUCGGCGGUCGGGGAUGGACUCGCGGCUUAUCAGCUUGUUGGUGGGGUAGUGGCUUACCAAGGGUUUGACGGGUAGCCGGCAUGAGAGCGUGACCGGCCACAAUGGGACUGAGAGACGGACCAGUCUCCAACGGUAGGCAGCAGUGGGGAAUAUUGCACAGUGGGCGGAAGCCUGAUGCAGCAACGCCGCGUGCGUGAUGACGGCCUUCGGGUUGUAAACCGCUUUCGCCUGUGACGAAGCGGGAGUGACGGUAAUGGGUAAAGAAGCACCGGCUAACUACGUG